UCCUCCCGACUUUUCAUUCCUUUCCGUUUUUUUUUCCUUUUCUUUCUCUAAGUUCCUAACGGAGUUUUCAUGGUAACUUCCAAACAAAACAAACCUAGGAGUCCCGCCAUUUCUGGAGAGAAUAUUUCCGCCGGACCUAAAGUCACCCAACAGCCAACAACCGGUAAUGGAAUCCUUUUUUCCGAAAGCCCCAAUUUCGCGCACAUGAACAUAGCGUGAGAGAGUGCCACGGAACAAUGUCGAUCUCGAUUCGACUUCUCUCACCGAUUCAAGCAGAAAAUUGGGGGAAUUCACCCUGGCAGCGGGAAGAUAAUUAGAGGAAAUCUUUUAUUUUGUGCUUAAGACAACAGGUGUAUUGCAAAGGCAAGUUCCUCGUCCCUCUAGCUUCUCUGCAUAGAGCAAAAAUCUUCUAAUAUAUAUCCUGCGUGUAACUCCCACUGAUUCUGUUCAGUGGCUAAACGGUAACCAGAGAAAUUAAGGGCAGGACCAAGGUCCAGCGGUAAUUUUUUUCCUUCCGAAAUGCUGUGCAGGCACAAUUGGAAGUAUGGGCUUGAUAUUAUUAAAUAAUAGUUGUUCAUAUGCUUCACUAUGACUAACAGUUAGUUGUGCGAUUAGCUACUUGUAAGGAAAUCUGGUGUUCAAUUUAUUUGCAUGUCAUCAGUUGUGGACUAUCUAGUAUGGCACGAUUGAGUACAUGGUCAUAUUUGCCAACCUGCCAUGUUAAUUUUGCAUGUAAAUAUGAAAUAAAAGUUUGUCUAACACUAUAAUGAAUUCACUCUUUAAGUUUGUUGAGUGUUCUUGUGUGCAAAUUAAAAGUAUGUUUUUGUUGAAGGCUUGUAGCUUAAUUCAGCAUGUUCUACAAUUCUUCUGGUGCAACUGACGUGUGUUAUGUUGUAGCUUAGUUUAGCAUGGUCUGCAAUUCGAAUUCUGGGAGUUUUGAUACUCUCUGUACUUAAAAAAUAUCCUUGAGGAAAAAGUGAAUGCACUUCCCUUCAACAAAUUAUGCAUGUUAUAUCACUUACGAGUUCUUAUGUGCCUCUCCGGUUUGAGGUUAAGGUUUUUGAAAAACGAGCAGAGCAGAUGACUUAACGAAUAUGACCAUCAAUAUAUAUUGCUACUGGUAUCUGUGGUUUGAUGUGCUCACUUUGGACAUGGUUAAAAGUUCCCAGGUUGAAAACAUAUGACUGUUUGCAGAAAACGACAAAAAACCCAUGCGACUGGAGUCGAGAAGUACAUCUGUACAUGUACAAUUACUUGGCUGUGUUUUUGAAAAUUUUGGCACUGGGGCUUUUGCAGAUCCAUGUAGCUCGAUACCUUCCAACAUGGAGAGAUGACGCAAUAGACGCAAAGUUGGAUAUGAAUCCAUCCCCAAUUGUUGGCAUGUCUCUCUAUCAAAGCAAAAGGUGGAUUUUUCCAGAUGCUAGGUCUGGUCCAGGUGCUUUCCAACUGGGAAUUGGUGGGAUUAAAGCUCUGAGGACACAGAGUUGUACGAGAUCAAAGGAAGUUUCCAUGUUAGUAUAUUUGUUCAUUUCCCGUGUUACAUCAAAAUGUUUUGGCAAAAUUACAUUUGUCGUAAGUGUGCAAACUUAAUCGCAUCUUUGGUUCUGAUCUGAAA